GAAGAAGUCACCUCCACGUCGGGAGCAAAGGCCUGUGUAGCAAGGAACUGAGGCCUCCACCAGGUAGUCAUGUUGGAAGGAAAUCCUCCAACCUCAGACAAACCUUCAAAUUAACAGCAGCCCCAACAACACCUGGCAGCAACUUCAUGAGAACCUCAAGCCAGAACCGACCAGUCAAGCCUCUCCUACAUUCUUGACCUACAGGAACUAUAUAAAGUGGAUAAAGAGUGUCAUGACUGAGGUGAACACGGGUCACUGCAGAUGCUCCGAAGCCACCCUGAGAGCCACGCUUUAUCAAGCUAUCUUAAUCAUGCCCCGCGAUGUUUGAAGAGCAAUAUUUCACUGUACGUCACAACAGUCUUGUUGGUAGGUCCACUGAAUAGGACAAAAACGGUCAGAGUUGAUUCACCCCAACAAUGAGGAGGAAUCCGGCUCUUGCUUCAAAACUGAUGUGUCAUCUUUCAGCCUGACCACAGGCCAUUCCGAAAGCUUUCCCUGGCAGACCUCAGGAGGGAAACCACCCCUUGCCAGCAGAGUGUGGGGGCCGUGCAGUGAACCUGGGGGAGUCACAGUUGAGGAUUUGGGCGCCUUUGCCACGUGCUCUUAGCACAUCUGCAUUUCUGGCCAAGUGCCUCCAUUCCUUGGUCUCUAUACCUGAGGCUUUGGGUACAGGUCUUCUUUAGGCACUUCUGCCUAGGAUUCUAGGGGAGGAGGAGGGAAUCUGGAAGACACAUUUCUCCACUCUGACUACAGUAGCCGUUACUUUUCCACUCCUAGACCUGACCCACUCCCCCCUUGUCUAUCCGAACACAGGGUGGGAGAAACUUCAGAAGCCUUUUGUUCAGGGCUCCCUCAGCAGCAAUUGCACACAUCCACCUGAACUCAAUGAGGGAAAGGGAAUGGGGGAGUCAUGCUCUG